rnacentral:rRNA from 1 species
UACAUAGGGUGCAAGCGUUAAUCGGAAUUACUGGGCGUAAAGCGUGCGCAGGCGGUUGUGUAAGACAGAUGUGAAAUCCCCGGGCUCAACCUGGGAACUGCAUUUGUGACUGCACAGCUGGAGUGCGGCAGAGGGGGAUGGAAUUCCGCGUGUAGCAGUGAAAUGCGUAGAUAUGCGGAGGAACACCGAUGGCGAAGGCAAUCCCCUGGGCCUGCACUGACGCUCAUGCACGAAAGCGUGGGGAGCAAACAGG